rnacentral:rRNA from 1 species
AUUGAACGCUGGCGGCAGGCCUAACACAUGCAAGUCGAACGAGUGGCGGACGGGUGUGAUAUGUCUGGGAAACUGCCCGAUGGGGGGGGAUAUCUACUGGAAAGGGUAGCUAAUACCGCAUACCAACGGAUGGUCCAAGAUGGGAUUAGCUAGUAGGUGGGGUAAGGGCUCACAUAGGCGGCGAUCCCUAGCUGGUCUGAGAGGAUGACCAGCCACACUGGAACUGAGACACGGUCCAGACUCCUACGGGAGGCAGCAGUGGGGAAUAUUGCACAAUGGGCGCAAGCCUGAUGCAGCCAUGCCGCGUGUAUGAAGAAGGCCUUCGGGUUGUAAAGUACUUUCAGCGAGGAGGCGUUACUCGCAGAAGAAGCACCGGCUAACUCCGUGCCAGCAGCCGCGGUAAUUC